AUUGAACGCUGGCGGCAGGCCUUACACAUGCAAGUCGAACGAGUGGCGGACGGGUGAGUAAUGUCUGGGAAACUGCCUGAUGGAGGGGGAUAACUACUGGAAACGGUAGCUAAUACCGCAUACCAUCGGAUGUGCCCAGAUGGGAUUAGCUAGUCGGUGGGGUAACGGCUCACCUAGGCGACGAUCCCUACCUGGUCUGAGAGGCUGACCGGCCGCACUGGAACUGAGACACGGGCCAGACGCCUACGGGAGGCAGCAGUGGGGAAUAUUGGACAAUUGGCGCAAGUCUGAUGAAGCCAUGCCGCAUGUGUGAAGAAGGACUUCGGGUUGUAAAGUACUUUCAGCUAGGAAGCGUUACUCGGAGAGGGAGCACCGGCUAACUCCGUGCCAGCAGCCGCGGUAAUUC
rnacentral:rRNA from 1 species